rnacentral:rRNA from 1 species
UAAUACGUAGGGUGCAAGCGUUGUCCGGAAUCAUUGGGCGUAAAGAGCGUGUAGGCGGCCUGAUCAGUCCGCUGUAAAAGUCCAGGGCUCAACCCUGGAAGGCCGGUGGAUACUGUCAGGCUAGAGUCCGGAAGAGGCGAGUGGAAUUCCUGGUGUAGCGGUGAAAUGCGCAGAUAUCAGGAGGAACACCAAUGGCGAAGGCAGCUCGCUGGGACGGUACUGACGCUGAGACGCGAAAGCGUGGGGAGCAAACAGGAUUAGAUACCCUGGUAGUCCACGCUGUAAACGAUGGGCACUAGGUGCGGGAGGUGUCGACUCCUCCCGUGCCGAAGCUAACGCAUUAAGUGCCCCGCCUGGGGAGUACGGCCGCAAGGCUA